rnacentral:rRNA from 1 species
UACGGGGGGAGCAAGCGUUGUUCGGAUUUACUGGGCGUAAAGGGCGCGCAGGCGGCUAUCCAAGUCAGGCGUGAAAGCCCCGGGCUUAACCUGGGAGGUGCGUCUGGGACUGGGUGGCUAGAGUUCGGGAGAGGAGAGUGGAAUUCCCAGUGUAGAGGUGAAAUUCGUAGAUAUUGGGAAGAACACCGGUGGCGAAGGCGGCUCUCUGGACCGAGACUGACGCUGAGGCGCGAAAGCGUGGGGAGCAAACAGG